rnacentral:tRNA from 1 species
UAGCUCAGUUGGUAGAGUGCUUGCCUAGUAUGCAUAAGGCCCUGGGUUUGAUCCCCAG